AGAGUUUGAUCCUGGCUCAGGACGAACGCUGGCGGCACGCCUAACACAUGCAAGUCGAACGGAGAUGAUUUGAGUUUACUUAGAUCAUCUUAGUGGCGGACGGGUGAGUAACACGUGAGCAACCUGCCUUUGAGAGAGGGAUAGCUUCUGGAAACGGAUGGUAAUACCUCAUAACAUACAGAUACCGCAUGGUGACUGUAUCAAAGAUUUAUCACUCAAAGAUGGGCUCGCGUCUGAUUAGAUAGUUGGUGAGGUAACGGCUCACCAAGUCGACGAUCAGUAGCCGGACUGAGAGGUUGAACGGCCACAUUGGGACUAAGACACGGUCCAAACUCCUACGGGAGGCAGCAGUGGGGAAUAUUGCACAAUGGGCGAAAGCCUGAUGCAGCAACGCCGCGUGAGCGAUGAAGGCCUUCGGGUCGUAAAGCUCUGUCCUCAAGGAAGAUAAUGACGGUACUUGAGGAGGAAGCCCCGGCUAACUACGUGCCAGCAGCCGCGGUAAUACGUAGGGGGCUAGCGUUAUCCGGAUUUCCUGGGCGUAAAGGGUGCGUAGGCGGUCUUUUAAGUCAGGAGUGAAAGGCUACGGCUCAACCGUAGUAAGCUCUUGAAACUGGAGGACUUGAGUGCAGGAGAGGAGAGUGGAAUUCCUAGUGUAGCGGUGAAAUGCGUAGAUAUUAGGAGGAACACCAGUAGCGAAGGCGGCUCUCUGGACUGUAACUGACGCUGAGGCACGAAAGCGUGGGGAGCAAACAGGAUUAGAUACCCUGGUAGUCCACGCCGUAAACGAUGAGUACUAGCUGUCGGAGGUUACCCCCUUCGGUGGCGCAGCUAACGCAUUAAGUACUCCGCCUGGGGAGUACGCUCGUAAGAGUGAAACUCAAAGGAAUUGACGGGGACCCGCACAAGUAGCGGAGCAUGUGGUUUAAUUCGAAGCAACGCGAAGAACCUUACCUAAGCUUGACAUCCUUUUGACCGAUGCCUAAUCGCAUCUUUCCCUUCGGGGACAGAAGUGACAGGUGGUGCAUGGUUGUCGUCAGCUCGUGUCGUGAGAUGUUGGGUUAAGUCCCGCAACGAGCGCAACCCUUGCCUUUAGUUGCCAUCAUUAAGUUGGGCACUCUAGAGGGACUGCCAGGGAUAACCUGGAGGAAGGUGGGGAUGACGUCAAAUCAUCAUGCCCCUUAUGCUUAGGGCUACACACGUGCUACAAUGGGUGGUACAGAGGGCAGCGAAGUCGUGAGGCCAAACUAAUCCCUUAAAGCCAUUCUCAGUUCGGAUUGUAGGCUGAAACUCGCCUACAUGAAGCUGGAGUUACUAGUAAUCGCAGAUCAGAAUGCUGCGGUGAAUGCGUUCCCGGGUCUUGUACACACCGCCCGUCACACCAUGGGAGUUGGGGGCGCCCGAAGCCGGCUAGCUAACCUUUUGGAAGCGGUCGUCGAAGGUGAAACCAAUAACUGGGGUGAAGUCGUAACAAGGUA
rnacentral:rRNA from 1 species